rnacentral:lncRNA from 1 species
ACACAUUUCACUCAUUCAAAAUCUCUCUCCCUCUCUCACGCAUCUCCUCCACUGCCUCCGCCUGCCACCGCCAUCGCCAGCGACACCGCAACCGAGUGGAGUCGCUGCCACCCCCAUUGCCACCUUCUGCUGCAACAUUCUUCCCGAAACCCAGGUUUGUUACGCGACCCGACCCAUUCUGUUAUGGUUUUGAUCGCACCUUGUAGAUGCGUCUGUGUCGCAGCUUGAAGGUGCGUGUUCAGAAUGCACGCACCUUAAGGGUCCGCUUGAGACGCACCUUUAAGGGGCGACACAGACGCACCCUGAGAGUGCGUCAUAGACCCUUAUAUGUCAAAGCUUCAAUGCCUUUAUGUUUUUGUUCUGUUUUGAGUCUUAUGUUUCCAAUGUUGGUUCAGAUAUGGCAAGAACAAAGAAUUUGAAUGUGCCCCCGGCCAACGAAAGGAGAAUCCCCC